CUACGUGCCAGCAGCCGCGGUAAUACGUAGGUCCCGAGCGUUGUCCGGAUUUAUUGGGCGUAAAGCGAGCGCAGGCGGUUAGAUAAGUCUGAAGUUAAAGGCUGUGGCUUAACCAUAGUACGCUUUGGAAACUGUUUAACUUGAGUGCAAGAGGGGAGAGUGGAAUUCCAUGUGUAGCGGUGAAAUGCGUAGAUAUAUGGAGGAACACCGGUGGCGAAAGCGGCUCUCUGGCUUGUAACUGACGCUGAGGCUCGAAAGCGUGGGGAGCAAACAGGAUUAGAUACCCUGGUAGUCCACGCCGUAAACGAUGAGUGCUAGGUGUUAGACCCUUUCCGGGGUUUAGUGCCGCAGCUAACGCAUUAAGCACUCCGCCUGGGGAGUACGACCGCAAGGUUGAAACUCAAAGGAAUUGACGGGGGCCCGCACAAGCGGUGGAGCAUGUGGUUUAAUUCGAUGCAACGCGAAGAACCUUACCUGGUCUUGACAUCC
rnacentral:rRNA from 1 species